CAACUUUUUGCUUAUGUCAUUUCCUUAGUGACUAGAGCCAGGCGGUACUGCACUGGACUUGGUAGAUCCUGCUCCUGUCCAGCUGCUCAUAUUUUAAGGGUUUCAGUUUUAAAAGUGUGCCUCCAUUCUGUGAAGCCAACGCCUGCUUCUCAUCUUCCUGUAAUAUGGACUCAGUGGUUCUCAAAGGUGUGAUCAAAUUUCUUUUUGGACUUUUCUU
rnacentral:lncRNA from 1 species